ensembl:lncRNA
CUCAGCUUGGGCAGCAAGGGCUGCACGUGCUUGGAGCUGUUGGUGAGAAUGGAGAUCAGAUGGAUGUCUGCAGCAGCGUCCUGGUGCUCGCUGCCUCACUUCAUGGCAGCACACAGCAUGGCAGAAAAAGGAUGGAGGAGACUUCAGAGCCCCUCUCCCUGUGCAAACCACCAGACACCAUCCCUGCUCCCUCCCUGCUGUGGGGCCAGGGGCUGGAGGGGAGCGACCUCCUUUCUGAGCCGCAAACAACCCCACGCCCCACAUCCCCCCCCCAGUGCUCCAUGGGGCAGCGAGAUGAGGACAUCGUCACCGGGAUAGCGCUGGGGACCUGGCAGACACCAAGGGGAGAAAAGCCCUCUCCAAGUUGGGGUGUUCUGGGUGCCCCGCAAAUCCAAACCCUGGGCUGCAGCAAGCCCUGCCAGACCUCACACUGCGUGGUUGCUCUGUGUUGACAGAAGCGCCUUUCCUGCAACCUUCCUCAGAUGCAGUCCCAUGCAGCAGCAUUGCACACCAUGCAGUGUGCCCACCGAGGCCGGAGCACGCAGCCUCAGCAGAUGCCUUCUGCUGCAGAGCAGCCGACUGUGCUGCCAACUGGAGCAUUCACAAUAGCAACAAUUGAGAUCAGAUCGACGGCCAAUUAACCCAAGUUACUCAAGGGACCGGGCCCUCCGGCUAAACAAGCACAGAGCAGGUUCAGGCAGGGAUGCAGCAGGGCAUGUGGGCACAUGGAGAUAAGAAAGCACUUAUCUACAGGAGUGCGGGAAGGGACGGCGUGUUCCUGACACCCAACGGUUGUGGCAACCUCAGGGUUUGCAUAUCAGUGAGAAAAAUCCUUCUUCUGGGGUUUUCCACCCCGUCCUGCAGCUGGGAACCAUUGGGGAAGGAGCAGGGCAGGGGCCAGGGGGGCUGCACGAGCCUCAGGGUGGAAUUUGGGGCUCCAUCCCACCAGACCCCAGAGCUGCACAGUGAAGUAUGGGUGGGGGUCCUCAGGGAGCAGCGCCCGCCUCAGCACUGAGCCAAGAGCAGAGCAGAGCAGAGCAGGGAGCACACAGGCAAUAAGGGCAUCUCCAGCGUCUUGAAGGAGCCCAGAGGGGAUUGGGGGAUUUACUGAGCAUGACCUGCAUGAAAAAUCCCCUGCUAAUCCUCACGGAGCAAUAAUCUCUGCCUCUGGGCCUCGCCUGAGACCAAACUCCGCAUUCAUUCUGUUGCUGCAUCCACCUCUCUGCUUCACCAAGGGCUGCAGGUGGUGGGAAUACAAGUGCCAGUGCAUCUGUUAUUGUCUGUCUGCUCCUGGCACAGAGGUGGAGGUACCACCAUCCCAGGUCUCUCGCCCUGGUCCCACAGCCUGGACCCCAUGUUGGAACAGAGAUAGGGCUGAUGAGGGGGCAGCUGCUCCCCCACACCGGGUCAUAAAGGUCCAAGCAGAACCCCAAGCAGGGCUCAGAGGUGACAGCAGGGGGCUGCAGGCAGGCUCAGCACCCUGGGCCCAGAGCGGGCUCCAGUACUGCUGGGUGUCUCCCCAUCCCGCUCCUGCAAAGCCUGGGGAGCUGCAACGAUGCUGUGCUGGGGCUGAGCUCGGGCUGCAGCCCGCACAGCAUUUGGUGCCGCGGCAGUCGCUGCCGGCUCCAGCACAUCCCCACGAGAGGGCAGGGCAGGCCCACGCUGCAGCCGUAGCCCCGCACAGCCCCGAG